rnacentral:rRNA from 1 species
CAAGACAUGAAGUUAGGUCAGCAAACCCGCUGAAUUUAAGCAUAUAAGUAAGCGGAGGACAAGAAACUAAAUAGGAUUCCCUCAGUAAUGGCGAAUGAACAGGGAUAAGCUCAGCAUGGAAAUUGGGGCCUCUGGCCUUGAAUUGUAGUCUUGAGAUGGCAUUGCCAGUGGAGGCGCAGAUGUAAGCCUCUUGGAAAAGAGCAUCAAUGAGGGUGAGAGUCCCGUUUGUCAUCUGCAGUCCCCCAUAAACGGUGUGCUUUCUAAGAGUCACGUUCCUUGGGAUUGGAGCGCAAAUUGGGUGGUAAAUUUCAUCUAAAGCUAAAUAUUGGUUCGAGACCGAUAGCAAACAAGUACCAUGAGGGAAAGGUGAAAAGGACUUUGAAAAGAGAGUUAAAAGUGCCUGAAAUUGCUGAAAGGGAAGCGAAUGGAACCAGUCUUCUGGGCGAGAUUGUUGCGCGCUACUGUGAUUGCCUGCUGCUUCAACGCAAGUGUCGCAGUGGGUUUUGAGCAUGACGUGCGCUUUGUUUCUUGCCUCGUGUGUCAACGUCGGUUCGGACUUGAGGAAAACUCCAGGGACAUGGUAAAUCGCUCGUGGGUGAUUGAAUGUGCUUGGCAGAACUCAUUUCUUAACUGAUUUCUGCAUGUCUGGUCGCAGUGCCUCGUUGCCUGCGCUCGCUGCCUCGGGUCUGGAGCUUCAGCUCUUCCUCGUUGCUUUGAGCCUGGUCGUGUGGCAUCUCCCUGACAUAAGUACGAUGACAAAAUGGUUUCAUUCGACCCGUCUUGAAACACGGACCAAGGAGUCUAACAUAUGUGCAAGUUCACGGGUGUUAAACCUGAUUGCGCAAUGAAAGUGACUGCUGGGAUAUUUGCACCAGCAACCGACCAAUCAAUUGUGAGAGGUUUGAGUAUGAGCAUAUCUGUUAGGACCCGAAAGAUGGUGAACUAUGCCUGAGAAGGGUGAAGUCAGGGGAAACUCUGAUGGAGGCUCGUAGCGAUACU